rnacentral:tRNA from 1 species
GGGCCUGUAGCUCAGUUGGGAGAGUGCUGCAUUCGCAUUGCAGAGGUCGGGAGUUCGAACCUCCUCAGGUCCACCA